rnacentral:rRNA from 1 species
GACGAACGCUGGCGGCGUGCUUAACACAUGCAAGUCGAACGGAAAGGCCCUGCUUUUGUGGGGUGCUCGAGUGGCGAACGGGUGAGUAACACGUGAGUAACCUGCCCUUGACUUUGGGAUAACUUCAGGAAACUGGGGCUAAUAACGGAUAGGAGCUCCUGCUGCAUGGGGGGGGUUGGAAAGUUUCGGCGGUUGGGGAUGGACUCGCGGCUUAUCAGCUUGUUGGUGGGGUAGUGGCUUACCAAGGCUUUGACGGGUAGCCGGCCUGAGAGGGUGACCGGCCACAUUGGGACUGAGAUACGGCCCAGACUCCUACGGGAGGCAGCAGUGGGGAAUAUUGCACAAUGGGCGGGAGCCUGAUGCAGCAACGCCGCGUGCGGGAUGACGGCCUUCGGGUUGUAAACCGCUUUCGCCUGUGACGAAGCGUGAGUGACGGUAAUGGGUAAAGAAGCACCGGCUAACUACGUG